rnacentral:rRNA from 1 species
AGAGUUUGAUCAUGGCUCAGAAUCAACGCUGGCGGCGUGCCUAACACAUGCAAGUCGAACGAGAAAGUGGGAGCAAUCCCAUGAGUAAAGUGGCGACCGGGUGAGUAACACGUGACCAAUCUACCCUCGAGUGGGGGAUAACUCCGGGAAACCGGAGCUAAUACCGCAUAACAUCAUUGGGGCGCAGGUUCCGAUGAUCAAAGGAGCAAUUCGCUUGAGGAGGAGGUCGCGGCUGGUUAGCUAGUUGGUAGGGUAAUGGCCUACCAAGGCUGAGAUCGGUAGCCGGCCUGAGAGGGCGCACGGCCACACUGGAACUGAAACACGGUCCAGACUCCUACGGGAGGCAGCAGUGGGGAAUUUUGCGCAAUGGGGGAAACCCUGACGCAGCAACGCCGCGUGGAGGAUGAAGUCCCUUGGGACGUAAACUCCUUUCGACCGGGAAGAUAAUG